rnacentral:rRNA from 1 species
AUUGAACGCUGGCGGAAUGCUUUACACAUGCAAGUCGAACGGCAGCACGGGGGCAACCCUGGUGGCGAGUGGCGAACGGGUGAGUAAUACAUCGGAACGUGCCCGGUCGUGGGGGAUAACGUAGCGAAAGUUACGCUAAUACCGCAUACGAUCUGAGGAUGAAAGCGGGGGACCUUCGGGCCUCGCGCGAUCGGAGCGGCCGAUGUCAGAUUAGGUAGUUGGUGGGGUAAAGGCCUACCAAGCCGACGAUCUGUAGCUGGUCUGAGAGGACGACCAGCCACACUGGGACUGAGACACGGCCCAGACUCCUACGGGAGGCAGCAGUGGGGAAUUUUGGGCAAUGGGCGCAAGCCUGAUCCAGCCAUUCCGCGUGCAGGACGAAGGCCUUCGGGUUGUAAACUGCUUUUGUAUGGAACGAAAAGGCUCUGGCUAAUACCUGGGGCUCAUGACGGUACCGUAAGAAUAAGCACCGGCUAACUACGUG